AGUUUUGAGAGGAUCUUCUGCUCCUCUUCAUCUGGUCCCUUUCCUUCCAAGGCCCCAGAGAGGAAGGCAUGCAGUGGGCCCUAGCGGUGCUUCUAGCUUUCCUGUCUCCUGCCAGUCAGAUAUCUUACAACUUGGAAGGGAGAACGAAGUCAGUCACAAGGCCGACUGGGUCAUCUGCUGAAAUCACCUGUGAUCUUCCUGGAGCAAGUACCUUAUACAUCCGCUGGCACCUGCACCAGGAGGGGAAGGCCCCACCGUGUCUUCUGUACUAUGACUCCUACACCUCCAGGGUAGUGUUGGAAUCAGGAAUCACUCCAGGAAAGUAUGACAUUGGAAGCACAAGGAGCAAUUGGAAUUUGAGACUGCAAAAUCUAACUGAAAAUGAUUCUGGGGUCUAUUACUGUGCCAGCUGGGACAGGCACAGUGAUUCAGACACUGAAAAUCUGCCUGUGGUUGCUUCUGGUACACAAGAUAGACCAGCCAACUCUCAUUUCCUGCCCUGAAUUUACUGUAUUCUGUACAAAGAGAAACACAGCUUAACUCCUGAUCUCCCCCCUAAUAUUACACUCCCCUGGCAGCAGCUGCACCCUGUUCC